ensembl:snRNA U2 U2 spliceosomal RNA
AUCGCUUCUCGGCCUUUUGGCUAAGAUCAAAUGCAACAUCUGUUCUUAUCAGUUUAAUAUCUUAUACGUCCUCUAUAUCAGGAUUACAUAUUAAAUAAAUAAAGAUUUUUAGAACAGGGAGACAGAAGAGGGGCUUGCUCCGUCCACUCCACGCAUCGACCAUGCAGCCUCCAGGAACGGUGCACCUCCU